CGAACCGUGCAAACGUUGUUCGGAAUCACUGGGCUUAAAGGGCGCGUAGGCGGGCUCGCCAGUCAGGGGUGAAAGCCCACGGCUUAACCGUGGAAGUGCCUCUGAUACUGCGAGCCUCGAGGGAGGUAGGGGCGUGCGGAACUUCCGGUGGAGCGGUGAAAUGCGUAGAUAUCGGAAGGAACACCGGUGGCGAAAGCGGCGCGCUGGACCUCUUCUGACGCUGAGGCGCGAAAGCCAGGGGAGCGAACGGGAUUAGAUACCCCGGUAGUCCUGGCCCUAAACGAUGGGUACUAGGUAGUGGACUGACAUGGGUUCACUGCCGAAGCAAAAGUGGUAAGUACCCCGCCUGGGGAGUAUGGUCGCAAGGCUG
rnacentral:rRNA from 1 species